AAAUUCCUUUGGAAGCUCUGCCAGAAGAUAAGCAUAAUUCCUGAGGUUUUCUAGAAUGAGCCUCCCCCUUCUCUCCCCCCAGCGUAAAGCUUUCCAGGCCAAGAGAGGCUCUUCCUCCUGCCAAAGCCGACUUCUGGAAGGCCUCCACCAUGAGUCCUCAGCUUCCUUGUUUGCAUCUUCUCUCUCUCCGUCACUUCUGCUUCUUCCUUCUCUUUUGCUUAGAGGCUCACUGAGGUCUCCCCUGGGCUAAGAAAAAACCCUCUUUGACUUCACUGUGUCUUGCCACCAGGCCCCUCCUGCCUUUUACUCCUAACCCCCCACAAAGGCAGUUCACGCCCGCCCUCACCUGCUCCUAGGCUGCUCUGGGGAAAGUCUCCUUCAAAGGGUCCUCUUCACAGUCCACCCAUGACCCAAGGCCUGGUCUGAACCCUCAGGCUCCUGACACCACAUGUCACCCACUGCAGUGGGCUGAAGAGUGCCCACCAAAUUCCCAUUGACCCAGAACCUCAGAUGUGGCCCCAUUUGGAAACAGGGUCUUUGCAGAUAUAAGUAGCUGAGAUGAGGUCAUAUUGGCUCAGAGAGAGCCCUAAAGCCAAGGACAGGUGUCCUUACAGGGAGAGGGAUGGCAGGCACACAGGGAGGGCGUCCAGCGAACAGAGGCAGAGAGCAGAGUCGUGCUGUCCCCAGCCAAGGAAGGCCCAGGCUCACUGGGAGCCCCCAGGCCCUGGAAGAAGCAGAGCGAGAUUCUUCCUAGAGUCUUCAGGGGGAGCCUGGGCCUGCUGGUCCCUUGAUUUUGGUCUUCUAGCCUCCAGAACUGUGAGAAUAAAAUGCCUGCUGUGCUAAGCCACCGAGUUGUGGUACUUUGCUACGGGACAACCACAGGAACCCCUCACAUGCUCCCUCCAGCGCUGCCCACCUGGACGCACAGGCCACCCCCCGCCCCCUCCUCAACAGCUCAGUAGCCCCUGCUCCCUCUGCCACCGGAGGGGCCUCAUUACGUUCCUCCCUCCUGUGCUGCAACCCUGCCCCUGGAGUUCAUCUCCCCUGCGGCCCCCACACCUGCAUCAGUCCCCGCCUCCAGAACACUCUUCACUGCCUGCCAGCCAACCUGCCUGGGUGGCCUGCUGAGCCCAGGCUCUAAGCUCCCACAUCACAGGCCUUUAAGGGAACCCCCAAGCCAUCCCUGCCCCCUGAGGCCCCAUGGCUCCUCCUUCCCUCGGUGUCCUCUCCUCGCUUCAGUUUCCUUGGUUUCCUUUUCACCUGCAAAAUUUCUUUGGUUUCCCUUUCACCGUCACCCCAGCUCAGUGGUUUGCCAGCCCGUGUCCCUGUCAUCUGUGACUCACAUUCACUCCCCUGGGUCCCAGCUCCCCCGACGGAGCUCCUCCCUGGGUCUGGCCUCCCCCUGACCGCACUCCCCACCCCCAGGCCAGGCCCAUUUGUCCGAGGCUUGUCUGCCUCCUUCUCCAGGCAGCCUGGCCUCCUGGCCUCUCCUUGGAGCUCCUCGCGCCCUGUCCCUUUCUUUUGGUUCUUUCUCAGGACAUCUUGGGGACUCUAGAUUGGUUAAAUAAUGGGGUACGAGGGGACGAGGGAGGCUAACAGGUGGUGUCACAUACCAGGCUGAAGAGGGGUGUUCAUUUCAGAAGGUACUAGGGAGCUAGGGAAGCAAAACCACAGGUCGCCUGGAGGGAGGGGGUGGAAUGAAGGGAGUGGAAGGAGGGGGUGGCAUGGGCUGUGCACUUAUCAUUCAUUCAUUCACUCAAGAAAUGUGGCAGGCAGUUGAUCUUCUAGAGCUCACUCACUUCUUCAACAAGUAAUGGCUGAGCACUUUCUAUGUGCCCAACGAAUAGGCUAGGGUGCUCUAGUGAGGGAGGCCAAAAAGUGGGUCAAUAGCAAGUUUAAAAAAAGGGAGGGAGAGUUCUGGUCGUGGCUCAAUGGUUAACGAACCCGACUAGAAUCCAUGAGGAUGUGGGUUCGAUCCCUGGCCUCGCUCAGUGGGUUAAGGAUCCGGCAUUGCUGUGAGCUGUGCUGUGGGUCACAGACGAGGCCUGGAUCCCACAUUGCUGUGGCUGUGGUGUAGGUCGGCAGCUACAGCUCCAAUUUGACCCCUAGCCUGGGAACCUCCACAUGCCAUGGGUACAGCCCUAAAAAGACAAAAAGACCAAAAAAGGGGGGGGCGACUCAAGGACAAACUGUGUGAGGGAUGAGGGGAAAAGCAUCCUGGACAGAGGGAACAGCAUACAGCUGGCCCCAAGGUGUGAAUGAGCUUGGUGUGUUCAUGAACUGAAAAACCAGGGUGAUUCUGGAAUCCAAGGAGUGAGGGAGAGAGUAGGGGACUGGGCUAGAGGCAUUGUCAGGACCGGGGCAUCCAGGCUGGGAUUGGUUUGGGAUGGGAUUCUCAACAACUUGGUACCAGCGCACAGUCACCGAGCUCCCCAUGCCCUGCUCCUCACCUAUUCACUCCCUUGAUGCCCAUAGCAGGCGCCUCCCCACCCUUUUAUUUUUAAGGGCCACACACACAGCAUGUACGGCAUAUGGGGGUUCCCAGGCUAGGGGUCCAAUCGGCUACAGCUGCCGGCCUACGCCAAAGCCACAGCAAUGCCGGAUCCUUAACCUACUGAGCAAGGCUAGGGAUCAAACCCACAACCUCACGGUUCCUAGUGGGAUUCAUUUCUGCUGCGCCACGACAGGAACACCCCCUUUACUGUUCUGUUGUUGUUUGCUGUGCUUGUGGUAUGCAUAAGUUCCCAGCCAAGGAAUCGAACUUGAGCCGUAGCAGUGACUUAAGCCACAGCAGUGACAAUGCUGGAUCAUAAACCACUGGGCUACCAGAGAACUCC
rnacentral:lncRNA from 1 species